rnacentral:rRNA from 1 species
GACGAACGCUGGCGGCGUGCUUAACACAUGCAAGUCGAACGGAAAGGCCCUGCUUUUGUGGGGUGCUCGAGUGGCGAACGGGUGAGUAACACGUGAGUAACCUGCCCUUGACUUUGGGAUAACUUCAGGAAACUGGGGCUAAUACCGGAUAGGAGCUCCUGCUGCAUGGUGGGGGUUGGAAAGUUUCGGCGGUUGGGGAUGGACUCGCGGCUUAUCAGCUUGUUGGUGGGGUAGUGGCUUACCAAGGCUUUGACGGGUAGCCGGCCUGAGAGGGUGACCGGCCACAUUGGGACUGAGAUACGGCCCAGACUCCUACGGGGGGCAGCAGUGGGGAAUAUUGCACAAUGGGCGGAAGCCUGAUGCAGCAACGCCGCGUGCGGGAUGACGGCCUUCGGGUUGUAAACCGCUUUCGCCUGUGACGAAGCGUGAGUGACGGUAAUGGGUAAAUAAGCACCGGCUAACUACGUG